GUAUUGAUUGCGGGUUAGCGCAUAAAUGAGGUCAUUCUACACUUUUUAAAAGGGGUGUUUGUGUGAAAACGCGAGCCUCCUCCGAGAUGAUCCCAAAGGGUGCCCACGCGGUGAUGCACAAAGGGUGAGAUGGAUUAUUAUGUGAGGAAACACACCCGGGCGUGCACGACAAAAAAAAGCCAGCGACAACCCUCGUACCCCCAUUGUACGAUAAUGAUCCUUCCGCAGGUUCACCUACGGAAA
rnacentral:misc_RNA from 1 species